AUUUAACAGAACUAUGACACAAAAUUUUCACUAGUCCUGAGGUUAAUACUAUGGCCUGUUCGUUUAUUAAUCGCUACGACAGCAACAAUGACUCCGACGAAGGCAAAAAUUAUAACGGAGAUACAAAAAUAAUCGUUCAGUAUGGACGUCGGCGACGUCACUAGUGAAAAUUUUGAGUCGCUGUUAUUUUUGGCGACGCGUGUAUAUUUCUUAUAGGUCGCUGUUUUAGAAUUGAGCGACUCCUCUCCAUAUAACUCUUUACAAACUUUCAACGUAAUUGUGUGUUAAACAACUACUUUUUUGAUCGCUGAAUCUGAUCACACAGCGCGUGAGAAAAAAAUAGGGCCUAUAUAAUAAACUUGAUGUGAUAUGACUGACCGAGAUUUA
rnacentral:sRNA from 1 species